AAGUUUCCCAAAGCCCCAUUCAGCUUGGACUUAAAUAUCUCCAAGAAUAGGGCUUCCACAGCUUCUCUGGACAGCUUUUUUCAAUGUCUCACCCUCUGCAUAAAGAUUUUCCUCCUUACAUAUAAUAUACAGCACCUUCCAUCCCCUCAGUCCCCAGAUGAGAGUGAAGGCUGGAUCAUGGCUGGUGACACGGCCAUGGGAGCUUUAGCACACACCCUGCAGUGCUCUCGUGGGGCUCUCUAGGGCCAGAUGGACACAACUCUAUUCCCACAAAGCAGCAUACAAGUACCUGCACCUCUCCUGCCAAAUGCCAUUUCCUGGGGUCCUCACCAUUUCAGUGCACUUGAGACUGCUUCAGUCCAGGUGACCAGUGUUGGACUUUUCCCUACACCUCCUCAUCCUACUUGGAAAAUAGCCUUGCAACUGGGGGCUGUGCAUCAGUGCUUCCUGAGGAUCAUCACCUGUCCCUGAAAAGUCAUCCCAGGGGCACCAUGCAGCCUUUGCAUCUCCUCAAGGAACAGUCAUGCUCAAACUCUGUGAUAGUAAAAGAGGAAUUCAGGUGGCCCAGCCCAAGGCACACUAUGCUUUCUCCUCCCAAAGGAAGACCCAAUGUCUUCUUCAUACCUUGCUCAUAUGCUGCAAGAGAUCCUUCUGCCAGCUCACAGUAUUACAGCAGGUUAGUUGAAUCCCAGGAGAGGGAGUCAUUAGAUUGCUGCUGUUUCAACUCAAUCUCACAUCCACUACAUUUUUUCUUUUUAUUUUAACCACUCAAUGCACUGCUGGGAGAAUGAGAUCUCUUUACAAGCCUCGUGUGCUAUCUGCUAUCUUUUCAUGCAGACAACCAUCUUUCAG
rnacentral:lncRNA from 1 species